rnacentral:rRNA from 1 species
UACGAAGGGGGCUAGCGUUGCUCGGAAUCACUGGGCGUAAAGCGCACGUAGGCGGCUUACUAAGUCAGGGGUGAAAUCCUGGAGCUCAACUCCAGAACUGCCUUUGAUACUGGUGAGCUUGAGUCCGGAAGAGGUGAGUGGAACUGCGAGUGUAGAGGUGAAAUUCGUAGAUAUCGAGAGGAACACCGGUGGCGAAGGCGGCGAUCUGGACGAUGACUGACGCUGAGACGCGAAAGCGUGGGGAGCAAACAGG